rnacentral:lncRNA from 1 species
CCGGCGCCGGGGCGCGCGGCAGCAGCCGUUGGGGUCCCGCGCGCGAGCGCCCGCCCCCAACAGCCGCCUCUGAGGGACCCCAACGGUCCCCGCCCACCUCAUCCGCAGGGGAGGGCCGGAGCUGUCACGCCCGCGGGCCUCCUCUGUGCGCUCUUCAUCAAACACCGGGGAGCUCCGAGCGGGAGGUGUCGCGGGAAAGCAGCGCCCUCCCUCUGGGCUGCCUCCGUCGCCAGCCCCAGCCCCGCAGGUAGGGCACCGGCACCCCGGUGGAGUGAAGCGCCCGCCGCCCGCGCCCCUGCGGGUUACCGGUGCCAAGUACUGCGGCGGGGUGGGUGCUGCUGCUCUGCACCCAGCGCCGCUCGCUGCUCAGCGCCAGCCCCCGAGGAAGCACCUUGCAGCCAAGAAAACGAAGUGUGGCGAGGGAUCACUUAUGAAUAUAUUGAAGAGACCAGAUCUCCCAUUGCUGAGCCUAUGUCAGUGAAUACUGAGACUUUCUUACCGAGGUAG